UUCAAUUUAGCUCAGCGGCAUAAGCGCCUGUGUUGCAAGCAGAAAGAUGUGGGUUCGAUCCCCUUUAUUGAUA
rnacentral:tRNA from 1 species